UACGAAGGGGGCUAGCGUUGUUCGGAUUUACUGGGCGUAAAGCGCACGUAGGCGGAUCGUUAAGUCAGGGGGUGAAAUCCCAGAGCUCAACUCUGGAACUGCCUUUUGAUACUGGGUGUCUUGAGUGUGAGAGAGGUAUGUGGAACUCCGAGUGUAGAGGUGAAAUUCGUAGAUAUUCGGAAGAAACACCAGUGGCGAAGGCGACAUACUGGCUCAUUACUGACGCUGGAGGCGCGAAAAGCGUUGGGGAGCAAACAGG
rnacentral:rRNA from 1 species